CAAUAGCGUAUAUUAAAGUUGUUGCGGUUAAAAAGCUCGUAGUUGGAUUUCUGUUGAGGUCGGCCGGUCCCUACUUUGUAGGCGCAUCUGGUUCAGCCUUGGCAUCCUCCUGAGGAACAGCACUGCUCUUAACUGAGUGGUCUGGUAUUCAGGACUUUUACUUUGAGGAAAUUAGAGUGUUUACGGCAGGCAAUCGCCUUGAAUAUGUUAGCAUGGAAUAAUAAUAUAGGACCUUGGUUCUAUUUUGUUGGUUUCUAGGACUAAGGUAAUGAUUAACAGGGAUAUUUGGGGGCAUUCGUAUUAACCGGUCAGAGGUGGAAUUCUUGGAUUCGGUUACGACGAACUACUGCGAAAGCAUUUGCCAAGGAUGUUUUCAUUGAUCAAGAACGAAAGUGUGGGGAUCGAAGAUGAUUAGAUACCGU
rnacentral:rRNA from 1 species